AGAAGUGAAGAAAUGAAAUAUUUCUUUCCUGUUUGUCUUUAAUUUGAUAUAAAGAUCUUGCUUAAAUUUAAAUGGCAACAUAUAGAGUUGCUGUGUAGUCUUCUCGUUAGUUAACGUCCUGUUUUAAUUUUCGUAAUAUAAUAGCAAGCUCUCCUGAGAGAAGACACGGUAACUUGAAGUUUGGAGAGUUUCCCGUUUGUUUGUUUCUUUUAUAUGGACUUCAUGCAGAGUGACCUCAACUUUUACCUCAAGAAGGCAAUGCGUCCCACAGCAAACCAGGGGGACGAUAAUCACAUGCAGAUUCCUCUGUCAUCUGCCUUUCCGUCUGUUUUGCCUCCUGGGAGAAAGAACUUGGGACCUUUCAAUACUGUUGAGUUUCAACCUUCUGAAGUUUGUCCCCAAAAUUUCAUCAUCUUUGACCACACUGACAAUCGAAGCCAAAUCAUGUUUCAUCCUGCAAUUGCCAACAAACUCAGUGGUCCUACUGCGAAU
rnacentral:misc_RNA from 1 species